rnacentral:tRNA from 1 species
GCCAAGAUGGCCGAGUGGUCUAAGGCGAUGGUUUUAAGCACCAUUAUCGAGAGAUGCCAGGGUUCGAACCCCUGUCUUGGCA